rnacentral:rRNA from 1 species
GAUCAUGGCUCAGGAUGAACGCUGGCGGCGUGCCUAACACAUGCAAGUCGAGCGAAGCACUUUGCUUAGAUUCUUCGGAUGAAGAGGAUUGUGACUGAGCGGCGGACGGGUGAGUAACGCGUGGGUAACCUGCCUCAUACAGGGGGAUAACAGUUAGUAAAUAGACUGCUAAUAACCGCCAUAAGACCACCAGCACCGCAUGGUGCGGGGUAAAACGUACCGUGGUAUGAGAUGGACCCGG